UGCACUGGUUUUGGUAUAAGAUAAAUAUAUAUGAGUGUGUGUGCGUGUGUGUAGGGUAGUGACAUGCUUAAAUAUGUUGAAAGCGCCUGCCCAGCCUUGGAUUAAAUGACUUCAAACAGCUAAUUGGGUUUCAAUGAAGGAUGGUAAUUUCUGAUGCUGGCGAUUUGAGAUCUUAGAUUGUUUGAUGAUAACACAUCAAAAGAAACAAAAAUCCCUGGAUGAAUUACAUACAGAUACAAAAGUAGCGAAGCAUUUCUUUCUGCCUCAUCAAGAAACUUGUUUAAACAUUUGGACUUGCUGUUCCUGCUUAUAAUAACUAUUUAAAUAGCCACCGCCAAGGAAAAUGCAUUUAUCAAUGGCGUACAUCAUGCCCUUUAUGUUUUACGCUCACCAUUCCGUUGAUUAGCGCAUGAUGGAGUCUGGGUUCAGCUCAAUCCAAGCUUUUCCCUGCCUGCCUCCCGAGGAAGCGGAGCUGCUGGUUACCAUGGCGACUUCGAUCCUUAGCGCACUCAACUCAAGGAUGACCGAGAGAGAGAGCGAAGGAAAUGGAUAAACUUCCAAUAAACCCGUCUAUGAUCAAACACAAGACAAACACAGUGAGAUGUAAACAAAAUUGAGCUUUGAAUUAACGUUGAUUGGAUCGAGA